rnacentral:rRNA from 1 species
UACGAAGGGGGCAAGCGUUGUCCGGAAUCAUUGGGCGUAAAGAGCGUGUAGGCGGCCAGAAAAGUCCGCUGUGAAAACUCGAGGCUCAACUUCGAGCUGUCGGUGGAAACUUUCUGGCUAGAGUCCGGAAGAGGAGAAUGGAAUUCCUGGUGUAGCGGUGAAAUGCGCAGAUAUCAGGAAGAACACCCGUGGCGAAGGCGGUUCUCUGGGACGGUACUGACGCUGAGACGCGAAAGCGUGGGGAGCGAACAGG